rnacentral:lncRNA from 1 species
UUCCUUUCCAUGUUUAGCGCUUCCUUCAGGAGCUCUUGUAAGGCAGGCCUGGUGGUGACAAAAUCUCUCAGCAUUUGCUUCUCUGUAAAGUAUUUUAUUUCUUCUUCACUUAUGAAGCUUAGUUUGGCUGGAUAUGAAAUUCUGGAAUGAAAAUUCAUUUCUUUAAGAAUGUUGAAUAUUGGCCCCCACUCUCUUCUGGCUUGUAGAGUUUCUGCCGAGAGAUCCGCUGUUAGUCUGUUGGGCUUCCCUUUGAGGGUAACCCAACCUUUCUCUCUGGCUGCCCUUAACCUUUUUUCCUUCAUUUCAACUUUGGUGAAUCGUUUGAUCUCAGACUGCUGUGCUAGCAAUCAGUGAGACUCCGUGGGCAUAGGACCCUCCAAGCCAUGUGCGGGAUAUAAUCUCCUGGUGCGCCAUUCCCUAAGCCCGUCGGAAAAG